rnacentral:rRNA from 1 species
UGACCGCUGGCGGCGUGCCUACUACAUGCAAGUCGAGCGAACAGACGAGGAGCUUGCUCCUCUGACGUUAGCGGCGGACGGGUGAGUAACACGUGGAUAACCUACCUAUAAGACUGGGAUAACUUCGGGAAACCGGAGCUAAUACCGGAUAACAUGUUGAACCGCAUGGUUUAACAGUGAAAGACGGUCUUGCUGUCACUUAUAGAUGGAUCCGCGCCGCAUUAGCUAGUUGGUAAGGUAACGGCUUACCAAGGCAACGAUGCGUAGCCGACCUGAGAGGGUGAUCGGCCACACUGGAACUGAGACACGGUCCAGACUCCUACGGGAGGCAGCAGUAGGGAAUCUUCCGCAAUGGGCGAAAGCCUGACGGAGCAACGCCGCGUGAGUGAAGAAGGUCUUCGGAUCGUAAAACUCUGUUAUUAGGGAAGAACAAAUGUGUAAGUAACUAUGCACGUCUUGACGGUACCUAAUCAGAAAGCCACGGCUAACUACGUG